AAAACUUUCUCUGAAUUCAGUUAUUCUUCCCUUACAACAGUGCUUUACGACCCGAAAGCCUUCAUCACACACGCGGCGUCGCUCCGUCACACUUUCGUGCAUUGCGGAAAAUUCCCUACUGCAGCCUCCCGUAGGAGUUUGGGCAGUGUCUCAGUCCCAAUGUGGCCGGCCAGUCUCUCAACUCGGCUACGCAUCAUUGCCUUGGUAGGCUUCUACCCUACCAACAAGCUAAUACGCCGCAAGACCAUCCUCUAGCGAUCCAAAAGGACCUUUCAAACAGAUCACAUGUGUGAUUUGUUGUUACGCGGUAUUAGCAUCUGUUUCCAAAUGUUAUCCCCCACUAAAGGGCAGGUUUCUUACGUGUUACUCACCAGUUCGCCACUCUAGUCAUUGCCUCACUUCACCCGAAGGA
rnacentral:rRNA from 1 species